rnacentral:rRNA from 1 species
GCUGACGAGUGGCGAACGGGUGAGUAAUGCAUCGGAACGUGCCCAAGUCGUGGGGAUAACGUAGCGAAAGUUACGCUAAUACCGCAUAAGCCCUGAGGGGGAAAGCAGGGGAUCGCAAGACCUUGCGCGAAUGGAGCGGCCGAUGUCAGAUUAGCUAGUUGGUGGGGUAAAGGCCUACCAAGGCGACGAUCUGUAGCGGGUCUGAGAGGAUGAUCCGCCACACUGGGACUGAGACACGGCCCAGACUCCUACGGGAGGCAGCAGUGGGGAAUUUUGGACAAUGGGCGCAAGCCUGAUCCAGCCAUGCCGCGUGCGGGACGAAGGCCUUCGGGUUGUAAACCGCUUUCAGCCGGAAAGAAAUCGCCAAGGCUAAUAUCCUUGGUGGAUGACGGUACCGGAAGAAGAAGCACCGGCUAACUACGUGCCAGCAGCCGCGGUAAUACGUAGGGUGCGAGCGUUAAUCGGAAUUACUGGGCGUAAAGGGUG